AGCGAACGCUGGCGGCAGGCUUAACACAUGCAAGUCGAGCGGGCCCUUCGGGGUCAGCGGCGGACGGGUGAGUAACGCGUGGGAACGUGCCUUCUGGUCUGGAAUAACCCUGGGAAACUAGGGCUAAUACAGGAUACGCCCUUUUGGGGAAAGGUUUACUGCCGGAAGAUCGGCCCGCGUCUGAUUAGCUGGUUGGUGGGGUAACGGCCUACCAAGGCGACGUUGAGUAGCUGGUCGGAGAGGAUGAUAAGCCACAAUGGGGCUGAGACCCGGCCCAGCCCCGGACGGGGGGGAGCAGUAGGGAAUAUUGGGCACUGGGCGCUAGCGUGAUAAAGCCAUGCGGCGUGAGUGAUGCAGGCCUUAGGGUUGUAAAUCCCUUUUAUCCGAGACGAUAAUGACGGUACCGGAGGAAUAAGCCCCGGCUAACUUCGUG
rnacentral:rRNA from 1 species